ACACACACCCACACAUACAGACACACACACACACACACACACACACACCCUGACACAUAUGUAGAUACAGACACACAGCUACACACAUUGCCACACAUACAGAUAGAAAGAUACUUUAAUACACUACACACACUGACACACGCAUAUACAAACAUACAGAUACACACUAAAAACAUACAGAUACAUACUGACAACAUAUAGAUACAUGGACACAUGCACUAGCUCACUACAGAUACACAGAGACACGCACUAACAAACAUAAAGAUACACUCACACACAGAAAC